rnacentral:lncRNA from 1 species
CUUAACAAAGACAAAUGAUACUUUUACCUAACUAUCGAUGAGAUAGCUUAACAAAGGUAAGAAUGAAAGAAAAACCAUCGUCUAACUAUCGUUGAAAUGAUAGCUUAACAAAGACAAAUGAUACUUUUACCUAACUAUCGAUGAGAUAGCUUAACAAAGGUAAGAAUGAAAGAAAAAUCAUCGUCUAACUAUCGUUGAAAUGAUAGCUUAACAUAGACAAAUGAUACUUUUACCUAAACUAUCGAUGAGAUAGCUUAACAAAGGUAAGAAUGAAAGAAAAACCAUCGUCUAACUAUCGUUGAAAUGAUAGCUUAACAAAGACAAAUGAUACUUUUACCUAACUAUCGAUGAGAUAGCUUAACAAAGGUAAGAAUGAAAGAAAAACCAUCGUCUAACUAUCGUUGAAAUGAUAGCUUAAUAAAGACAAAUGAUACUUUUACCUAACUAUCGAUGAGAUAGCUUAACAAAGGUAAGAAUGAAAGGACAACUUGGUCAGUCACACUGGGGAUGACACUAUUGAGAGUUGAAAUUGACUGGUGACACCACUUGCACAGCUACCGCUGGUGAUGACACUUUUUGAAAUUGAAAUUGAAGUUUGAUUAGUGUCAUGACUAGCAAGGCUUCACGCCGGGGAUGACACUUUGACAAAAGAAGGUAAAUGGAAGAGGCUUAUUUGUAGAAACUUGUGGCUUGACACAAUGGUAAGUUAAGACUGAACCGAAGAGACACGACCGAAUCGAGAUUCUGGACGACUGAUGCAAUUAUGUGUGAAUUGAUGUUGUGCAUAUGAUGUGUACGUAUAAACGUACGAAUAUGUGAAAAUAUU